rnacentral:rRNA from 1 species
GAUUGAACGCUGGCGGCAGGCUUAACACAUGCAAGUCGAACGGUAACAGGAAGCAGCUUGCUGCUUCGCUGACGAGUGGCGGACGGGUGAGUAAUGUCUGGGAAGCUGCCUGAUGGAGGGGGAUAACUACUGGAAACGGUAGCUAAUACCGCAUAAUGUCGCAAGACCAAAGAGGGGGACCUUCGGGCCUCUUGCCAUCGGAUGUGCCCAGAUGGGAUUAGCUUGUUGGUGGGGUAACGGCUCACCAAGGCGACGAUCCCUAGCUGGUCUGAGAGGAUGACCAGCCACACUGGAACUGAGACACGGUCCAGACUCCUACGGGAGGCAGCAGUGGGGAAUAUUGCACAAUGGGCGCAAGCCUGAUGCAGCCAUGCCGCGUGUAUGAAGAAGGCCUUCGGGUUGUAAAGUACUUUCAGCGGGGAGGAAGGGAGUAAAGUUAAUACCUUUGCUCAUUGACGUUACCCGCAGAAGAAGCACCGGCUAACUCCGUG